UACAGAGGUCCCAAGCGUUGUUCGGAUUCACUGGGCGUAAAGGGUGCGCAGGUGGUCGGGUAAGUCUGAUGUGAAAUCCCGCAGCUCAACUGCGGAAUGGCAUUGGAUACUAUUUGGCUAGAGGGUUGGAGGGGGGACUGGAAUUCUCGGUGUAGCAGUGAAAUGCGUAGAUAUCGAGAGGAACACCAGUGGCGAAGGCGGGUUGCUGGGCUGACACUGACGCUGAUGCGCGAAAGCCAGGGGAGCGAACGGG
rnacentral:rRNA from 1 species